rnacentral:rRNA from 1 species
UGGCAAGGUCGAGCGGCAGCGGGAAAGUAGCUUGCUACUUUUGCCGGCGAGCGGUCGGACGGGUGAGUAAUGCCUGGGGAUCUGCCCAGUCCAGGGGGAUAACUACUGGAAACGGUAGCUAAUACCGCAUACGCCCUACGGGGGAAAGCAGGGGACCUUCGGGCCUUGCGCGAUUGGAUGAACCCAGGUGGGAUUAGCUAGUUGGUGAGGUAAUGGCUCACCAAGGCGACGAUCCCUAGCUGGUCUGAGAGGAUGAUCAGCCACACUGGAACUGAGACACGGUCCAGACUCCUACGGGAGGCAGCAGUGGGGAAUAUUGCACAAUGGGGGAAACCCUGAUGCAGCCAUGCCGCGUGUGUGAAGAAGGCCUUCGGGUUGUAAAGNANUUUCAGCGAGGAGGAAAGGUUGGUAGCUAAUAACUGCCAUCUGUGACGUUACUCGCAGAAGAAGCACCGGCUAACUCCGUGCCAGCAGCCGCNUGUAAUACGGAUGGUGCAAGCGUUAAUCGGAAUUACUGGGCGUNAAGCNCANGCAGGCNGUUGGAUAAGUUANAUGUGAAAGCCCCGGGCUCAACCUGNGAAUUGCAUUUUANAACUNUNCCANCUAGAUUCUUGNANAGNGGNNUAAAAUUCCU